CAGCCGCCGCGGUAAGACAGAGGAUGCAAGCGUUAUCCGGAAUGAUUGGGCGUAAAGCGUGCGCAGGCGGUUGUGUAAGACAGGUGUGAAAUCCCCGGGCUUAACCUGGGAACUGCGCUUGUGACUGCACAGCUAGAGUAUGGCAGAGGGGAGUGGAAUUCCACGUGUAGCAGUGAAAUGCGUAGAGAUGUGGAGGAACACCGAUGGCGAAGGCAGCCCCCUGGGCCAAUACUGACGCUCAUGCACGAAAGCGUGGGGAGCAAACAGGAUUAGAUACCCCCGUAGUCCCUGUCUCUUAUAC
rnacentral:rRNA from 1 species